rnacentral:rRNA from 1 species
AACGUAGGACGCAAGCGUUAUCCGGAAUUACUGGGCGUAAAGGGCGUGCAGGCGGUCUCUUAAGUUAGGCGUGAAAGCUCCGGGUUAAACCUGGAGAGGUCGUCUGAUACUGGGGGACUAGAGUGUGGUAGAGGGGUGUGGAAUUCCGGGUUUAGUGGUGAAAUGCGUAGAUAUCCGGAGGAACACCAGUGGCGAAGGCGGCACCCUGGGCCACAACUGACGCUAAGACGCGAAAGCAUGGGUAGCGUACGGG